rnacentral:rRNA from 1 species
GACGGAGGAGGCAAGCGUUAUCCGGAAUUAUUGGGCGUAAAGGGUACGUAGGCGGCUGGUCAAGUCUGGGGUCAAAGGCCACAGCUCAACUGUGGGAAGGCCCUGGAAACUGACCGGCUAGAGUGAUGUAGGGGUUGCGGGAAUUCCCGGUGUAGCGGUGAAAUGCGUAGAGAUCGAGAAGAACACCUGAGGCGGAAGCGCGCAACUGGGCCUCAACUGACGCUGGGGUACGAAAGCUUGGGGAGCGAAUGGG